AUUGCAUCCAAACUCCUUUGCAAGUUUCCAGAUAAAACGGAUUUCCCUCCAUCCUUUCCAGUCGGAAUUCAGUUUACAGGUGUGGUGUUCGCAUCGAGGAUACUGGCAGGACCAGCAGCUCCAGCGCCUCGUCCCCAGUGCUGGCAACAAGCCACCCGGUCCCAAAGUACCUGAAAUCCUGAGAAAAACCUCCAGCUUUGCCUUCCAAAGUUUCACAAGAGAUUCAGGUAGAGGAACCAUGAAAAAUAGUGAUGUAUGAACAGUUUGAGAACCCACUUUCUCCUUGCCUCA
rnacentral:lncRNA from 1 species